AGUGAACGCUGGCGGCGUGCCUAAUACAUGCAAGUCGAACGAAGUGGCGCACGGGUGCGUAAUAUAUAGUUACUCUGCCCUCCACAGAGGAACAACAGUUGGAAACGACUGCUAAUACCUCAUAGUGUAGGAUGAGACUAUAUCGUAUCAGCUAGUUGGUAAGGUAAUGGCUUACCAAGGCUAUGACACGUAACUGGUCUGAGAGGAUGAUCAGUAACAUGGGAAGUGAGACACGGUCCAAACUACGACGGGAGGAAACAGUAAGGAACAUUGAGCAAUGGGAGGAACCCUGACGCAGCAACGCCGCGUGGAGGAUGACAAUUUUCGAAGAGUAAACUCCUUUUAUCAGGAAAGCGGUACCUGAUGAAUAAGGACCGGCUAACUCCGUGCCAGCCGCCGCAGUAAUAC
rnacentral:rRNA from 1 species